AAAAUUAUAACCUUUAUUUCGCAGAUUCAUGUAAUGUACACAACAGAAGUUAACACGUUUCUUUGAAGACAUUGCUGCUACUAUCAGGUUGAUUACCAUGGACGAUUUGGUAAAGUCUUUACUUUCCUGCAACAAUCUCAGCGAAGGAGACCUGAUAGCAAAGGGAACAUGCUCUCUUUGCAGGAUUGAAAUCCGGACAAUCUAGUUCAGCAGAGAGUUGGAAAGUAACAUCCUCAACCUACGGUAUAUUAGAAAUAACAACUGUUUAUUGUCGACUUAAACUUGAAUUCUGGUUACUGCACCCAAUUACUUAUGUAAUUUAUGACGUUAUGGCAUGGAAAAUUCAUUCCUUUGAUAUCUGUAAGCAUUGCAUGCGCAUGUGAGCAUUAAGUUCAGCAGACACAGUUUUUGAUUUUUUCUUUCGACGGGCUGCACGACAACGGGGGACCCCUGAUUAUUAGGGGUCAGAUCAUAUGAUGUAUAAUUAGUGAUGUGACGUAUAAUUAGUGAUGUGACGUAUGAUUAGUAAUGCGAUCCACUCUGAACUUCAAAAAUUGUACCGUGAGAAGUGUAAAGGUGUAUUAAGGAUUUGUGUUUGGGGAAGGUUGGUUGUUUUAGUAACGUCUAUAAUAAUCACAGAAAUUAAUAAUUUACUAAUUUACUAUUAACAACAAAAUUUCAAAAUUGUGAAAAAAUGGUUUUCGACACGAAAUAACUUAAAUGUAAGACCUAACAAGCAUUUCCAAACCGAUUUCACUUAAUUUGCUCUUUUGUAAAAUAUAAAAUUAUUAUUUCAAAUUUGAACACGAGUCUUGAAACACCGUGUAUUGAUCAUUUGUUUAUUCGGGGUAAACACCGUAGAAAUAAACUUGUAAUUGCUGUUAAUUGAUAGUUUUUAUUAGCUGUUUUUAGAAAUUUCUUUUAGAAAUUAGCUCAUGAAAGCGAGUAGUUUAUUAUAAUAAUUUUUAUGAACAGCCCAUAAUAAAUUGUUAUUGUUGUUAGUUUAUAAUUUUAAAAAGCUGAUGUUUUAAGGCAUUUUUGUUUUUUAGUUUAGCUUACGAAAGCGAGUUGUUUAUUUAUUUUAUACUAUGGCUAUUUUCAUUAACGGCAUAAAAUAAAUUGAUAAUUUUUGGAAGCUGCAAAUUGACAGACUAUUAGAACUGCUAAUCCGAAUAGAAGCAUCGCUUUAGAAGUGAGCUUAUGAUAGCAAAUACGUUAUUGUUGAUUAUUGUAAUGUAUCGACUAUUGAGGUAAUCUGCCUAUUUAAAGCACCAAUUUUAUAGGUCUUACAAUGUAUAAGACGUGAGCUCUUGAUGUAUUUUCACAAUUCACAUUUAUUGUAAAAAGCGGCUUAUAAUGCAGUGUUGAAGCUGUCAUCAUUUAAAAACUUAUCGGUAUGUAAAUCUUUUACUUUUGUACAAUUUCAUACAUUAAUACAACUUUUUUAAUCAUUUUAUCA